UUUAUUGUAGAAAGGAGAGACGUUUAGCACCCUCUAGACAAGGAUGAAACACACAUAAAUUGGUAAGGCACUUGUCCUUUGGCGACAGUUACCAAAUUUUA
rnacentral:ncRNA from 1 species